CCCCUAGAUGUUCUGGGCCGCACGCGCGCUACACUGAACAGUUCAACAAGUCUUAACCUUGGCCGAUAGGUCUGGGUAAUCUUUGAACGCUGUUCGUGAUUGGGAUAGACCUUUGCAAUUAUGGGUCUUCAACGAGGAAUUCCUAGUAAACGCAAGUCAUCAGCUUGCAUUGAUUACGUCCCUGCCCUUUGUACACAUCGCCCGUCGCACCUACCGAUUGAAUGGUCCGGUGAAAUCUCGGGACGGCGGCUUGGUCGCUUGCGUCCGACUGCUGAAACUUGAUUAAACCAUAUCAUUUAGAGGAAGGUGAANUCGUAACA
rnacentral:rRNA from 1 species